UACGUAGGGUGCAAGCGUUGUCCGGAAUUAUUGGGCGUAAAGAGCUCGUAGGCGGUCUGUCACGUCGGCUGUGAAAACCCGAGGCUCAACCUCGGGCCUGCAGUCGAUACGGGCAGACUGGAGUUCGGUAGGGGAGACUGGAAUUCCUGGUGUAGCGGUGAAAUGCGCAGAUAUCAGGAGGAACACCGGUGGCGAAGGCGGGUCUCUGGGCCGAAACUGACGCUGAGGAGCGAAAGCGUGGGGAGCGAACAGG
rnacentral:rRNA from 1 species